UACGAGGGGGCGAGCGUUGUUCGGAAUUAUUGGGCGUAAAGGGUGCGUAGGCGGUUUUGUAAGUCUUAUGUGAAAUCUAUGGGCUCAACUCAUAGACUGCAUGAGAAACUGCAGGGCUUGAGUGUGGGAGAGGUGAGUGGAAUUUCCGGUGUAGCGGUGAAAUGCGUAGAUAUCGGAAGGAACACCUGUGGCGAAAGCGGCUCACUGGACCACAACUGACGCUGAUGCACGAAAGCUAGGGGAGCAAACAGG
rnacentral:rRNA from 1 species